GACGAACGCUGGCGGCGUGCUUAACACAUGCAAGUCGAACGGAAAGGCCCUGCUUUUGUGGGGUGCUCGAGUGGCGAACGGGUGAGUAAAACGUGAGUAACCUGCCCUUGACUUUGGGAUAACUUCAGGAAACUGGGGCUAAUACCGGAUAGGAGCUACUGCUGCAUGGUGGGGGUUGGAAAGUUUCGGCUGUUGGGGAUGGACUCGCGGCUUAUCAGCUUGUUGGUGGGGUAGUGGCUUACAAGGGCUUUGACGGGUAGCCGGCCUGAGAGGGUGACCGGCCACAUUGGUACUGCGAUACGCCCCAGACUGCUACGGGAGGCAGCAGGGGGGAAUAUGGCGCAAUGGCCGCAAGCCUGAUGCAGCAACGCCGCGUGCGGGAUGACGGCUUUCUGGUUGUAAACCGCUUUCGCCUUUGACGAAGCCGGAGUGACGGUAAUUGGUAAAGAAGCACCGGCUAACUACGUG
rnacentral:rRNA from 1 species